rnacentral:rRNA from 1 species
GAUGAACGCUGGCGGCGUGCCUAAUACAUGCAAGUCGAGCGAACAGACGAGGAGCUUGCUCCUCUGACGUUAGCGGCGGACGGGUGAGUAACACGUGGAUACCCUACCUAUAAGACUGGGAUAACUUCGGGAAACCGGAGCUAACACCGGAUGAUAUAUUGAACCGCAUGGUUCAAUAGAGAAAGACGGUUUUGCUGUCACUUAUAGGUGGUUCCGGGCCGGAUUAGCUAGUUGGUAAGGUAACGGCCUACCAAGGCAACGAUGCGUAGCCGACCUGAGAGGGCGAUCGGCCACCCUGGAACUUAGACACGGACCAGACUCCUACGGGAGGCAGCAGUAGGGAAUGUUGCGCAAUGGGCGGAAGCCUGACCGAGCAACCCCGCGUGUGUGGUUGAGGCGUUCCGUUCGGAAAACCCUGUUUAUGGGGAAAAAACAAUUUGGAAUGUACUAUGCACGUCUUGACGGUACCUGAUCAGAAAGCCACGGCUAACUACGUG